GUUGUUGACAAACAGCUUUUAUUCUUCAGUAAGAUAGAAGUAGUACCCUUUAGUUUUCUUUAGAUAUCCUACGAACAAGUAUUUAUCGAACUUUGAUCCAAGCUUAUUUAUCUUUAAAUGCUUGGCAUAAGCUAGACACCUCCAAAUCUGAAGGUGUGAGAGCACCAAUCUAUGCCCUAUCCACAUCUCAUAUAGAGUUUUAUCGACAGACUUGCUCGAAAUCUUGUUAAGAAUAUAGC
rnacentral:lncRNA from 1 species